rnacentral:rRNA from 1 species
AGAGUUUGAUCCUGGCUCAGGAUGAACGCUAGCGAUAGGCCCUACACAUGCAAGUCGAGGGGCAGCGCGAGAAAGUAGCAAUACCUUCUUGGCGGCGACCGGCGGAUGGGUGAGUAACGCGUAUGCAACCUACCUACUACUUUGGGAUAGCUCGUUGAAAGACGAAUUAAUACCUUAUAAUACAGGGACUCCGCAUGGAGAUAUUUGUUAAAGAUUUAUUGGUAGUAGAUGGGCAUGCGUUCCAUUAGUUAGUUGGUGAGGUAACGGCUCACCAAGACAACGAUGGAUAGGGGAACUGAGAGGUUUGUCCCCCACACUGGAACUGAGACACGGUCCAGACUCCUACGGGAGGCAGCAGUGAGGAAUAUUGGUCAAUGGAGGAAACUCUGAACCAGCCAAGUCGCGUGAAGGAUGACUGCCCUACGGGUUGUAAACUUCUUUUUUAAGGGAAUAAAGUGAGCCACGUGUGGCUUUUUGCAUGUACCUUACGAAUAAGGAUCGGCUAACUCCGUGCCAGCAGCCGCGGUAAUACGGAGGAUCCGAGCGUUAUCCGGAUUUAUUGGGUUUAAAGGGUGCGCACGCGGAAUAUUAAGUCGGCGGUGAAAGUUUGCAGCUUAACUGUAAAAUUGCCGUUGAUACUGGUAUUCUUGAGUGUAUAUGAAGUAGGCGGAAUUUGUAGUGUAGCGGUGAAAUGCAUAUAUAUUACAAGGAACUCCGAUUUGCGAAGGCAGCUUACUAAAUUACAACUGACGCUUAGGCACGAAGGCGUGGGUAUAAAACAGAAUAAAAACCCCUGGUA